GGCGAGUGAAGCGGCAACAGCUCAAAUUUGAAAUCUGGCCCUCGGGUCCGAGUUGUAAUUUGUAGAGGAUGCUUUUGGCGCGGUGCCUUCCGAGUUCCCUGGAACGGGACGCCACAGAGGGUGAGAGCCCCGUCUGGUCGGACACCAAGCCUCUGUAAAGCUCCUUCGACGAGUCGAGUAGUUUGGGAAUGCUGCUCUAAAUGGGAGGUAUAUGUCUUCUAAAGCUAAAUACCGGCCAGAGACCGAUAGCGCACAAGUAGAGUGAUCGAAAGAUGAAAAGCACUUUGAAAAGAGAGUUAAAAAGUACGUGAAAUUGUUGAAAGGGAAGCGCUCAUGACCAGACUUGGGCCUGUUUGAUCAACCUGGGUUCUCCCGGGUGCACUCUCUCAGGCCUAGGCCAGCAUCAGUUCGCCGCGGGGGACAAAGGCCUCGGGAAUGUGGCUCCCCUCGGGGAGUGUUAUAGCCCGUUGCGUAAUACCCUGCGGCGGACUGAGGACCGCGCGAAAGCAAGGAUGCUGGCGUAAUGGUCAUCAGCGACCCGUCUUGAAACACGGACCAAGGAGUCGUCUUCGUAUGCGAGUGUUCGGGUGUUAAACCCCUACGCGUAAUGAAAGUGAACGCAGGUGAGAGCUUCGGCGCAUCAUCGACCGAUCCUGAUGUUCUCGGAUGGAUUUGAGUAAGAGCAUACGGGGCCGGACCCGAAAGAAGGUGAACUAUGCCUGUGUAGGGUGAAGCCAGAGGAAACUCUGGUGGAGGCUCGCAGCGGUUCUGACGUGCAAAUCGAUCGUCAAACAUGGGC
rnacentral:rRNA from 1 species